rnacentral:rRNA from 1 species
GAUGAACGCUAGCGGCAGGCUUAAUACAUGCAAGUCGAGGGGCAGCACGGUUAGCAAUAACUGGUGGCGACCGGCGCACGGGUGCGUAACACGUAUACAAUCUACCUUAAACAGGGGGAUAGCCUUUCGAAAGAGAGAUUAAUACCCCGUAAUAAAUUGAACGGCAUCGUUUGAUUUUGAAAGCUCCGGCGGUUUGAGAUGAGUAUGCGUCUGAUUAGCUAGUUGGUGAGGUAACGGCUCACCAAGGCGACGAUCAGUGGGGGAUCUGAGAGGACUAACCCCCACACUGGUACUGAGACACGGACCAGACUCCUACGGGAGGCAGCAGUAAGGAAUAUUGGUCAAUGGAGGCAACUCUGAACCAGCCAUGCCGCGUGCAGGAUGACGGCCCUAUGGGUUGUAACUGUCUUUUAUACAAGACGAAACCCUGGUACGUGUACCAGGUUGAUAGUAUUGUAAGAAUAAGCA